rnacentral:rRNA from 1 species
GAGAGGAUACACCUGUUCCCAUUCCGAACACAGAAGUUAAGCUCUCUAGCGCUGAUGGUACUUGGUGGGAAACUGCCUGGGAGAGUAGGACGUAGCCACGUA